AACCAGUCCAGAGAAAUGUACAACCCAGGGCCUGUGUAGUGCAAGUCUCCCGGAGUGGGGGAAGUCGAACCUUGAGCAGCUACUAUCUAGAUCAUGAGAACUGGAGACACGUGGAGGAUCUAGAAAUGGCUGACAGGAUCUGAGGCCUCAGGGAAUGGACACAGCCUUACAAAACUAAAGAGAGGAGAGGGAAGUUGGGGAGAAAAGAUGGGGGUGACAGGCUCCACCAGCUUCUCGGAUGGAGCCAGCGCCCGUAUCCAUGCUAUCCGACUGCAGAGAGAGUGGUGGACAUGAAAAGAAAAGGCACAACAAGGGAGAGAGAACCUGCGCCCCGUGAUGGGCGCUGGACCGUGCGGCCACCUACCGAGUCCGAGACGAAGCCUCGGGUUUGCAGGACCCUCAUACCCCAGACACCGAACCGAGCCCGAGCCACCAACGCCGAGCCUGCCAUUGUCUUCGGCGCUGCUCAGCUCGCGUUGCGGGC
ensembl:antisense predicted gene 12999